rnacentral:lncRNA from 1 species
AUGCGGCCUCAGAUCCCGCCCCUUGACUUGACAGAUCUCCCAACUACAGCCAGACUCAAUCUGGGGCAAGGGAAUGGCAGGAACCCCAUCACUCACCAGGGUCUUCUUGGACACCGGGAGCUGGCACACCGUGGGGUCGUUGCAGGGCGGCUCCACCAGGGUCGCCUUCAGCGAGUACAGCAGCUGCAGCCAGGGUGCCAUGGUGAGGGCGAAGCUGGCGGCCCGGACUCACGCACGGACGGACGCGCGGACCAACCGACGGGGCGUAGCAGCCCGCGGCUGGGGGGCCCUAGUCCUCCCCAAGCUCCGGCGGGGCGCCGGCCAAUGGGCGCCGGCCGGGGCGCCUGCGCGCUCGCUUAUUUACGCCAGGCACGUGGGUGCGCUGGCUGUGCAAGACUGGCGGGCUGGACCCAGUUUCGACCGUAGGCAGUCUUGCAAAACCAGCGUCAUCUGGGGAGACGUGGCCCGAUCCCCGACCUUGAAAUGAUCUUCUUAGGUCUGGGAACUGCUGUUUGAGGAGAGGAAACAAUACUGGCCAGAGAAUUAAAACAACUACCACUUAUUGCAUACCUACUAUUAUGUUGCAGGUUAUAUGCCCUCUCCUUUAAUCUUUGUAGCAAUCCUGUGAAGUAAUAAAUGUUAUUAUCCCCAUCUAGUAAUUGAGGAAAUAUAGGUUUAGAGAAACUAAGUGGCUUGUCAAACAUCUGCUAAGUAAAGGGCUGGACUUGAACACAGGAGUGGACUUCAGAGCUUGAGCUCACAGCUCCAUCACCUCUUUGAGGCCCCUCUUAUCAGCAGAAUGGCAGCUAAUAUUCCCUGGACUGGCAGUGUCACAGGCUGUUGCGCAGAUCAAACACAAACAUGUCAACAGUGCACAGGGUUGGGACCCUUCUUUCAUUCCUUCAAGCAUUCACUGCUGUGUUCCAGGGCGUAGCAACAGGAAGCAUGAGCAGAUACUCUGGGCAUAAUACUGCCUGCUAGCAGCUCACAGUCUAGUGGAGAGACAGAUGAGAAAAAGGAAUUUUCCUCCAAGGUGUUACCAACUGUGGGAGGAAACAGAAGAGAGUUUUGGCAACCCACUCCAAUUUUCUUGUCUGGGAAAUCCCAUGGACAGAGGAACCUGGAGGGCUACAGUCUAUGGGGUUGCAAAGAGUGGGACAUGACUGAGCGACUAACACUUUCACUUCCAAGGCCCUUCAAGCUCCAGUCAGGCCUUAGACCUUAUCCUCUGCUGUGCACUUGACACUCCAGUGACACUCUAUUUGCAGAAAUUCAAGCUCUUGCACACCCUGGAACCUUCACACUGCUCAAACUCCUAGACACUUUGCUGCUCUCAGGAGGCUUUCCUGACCCACGCCCAUUGCCCUGACUAAGCUCAAUGGCACUGUCUCUGUACUCCUAGACUCCUAGCCCCGUGAACUUCCUCCUUCUGAAAGAUCUAAAGCCAAAUGAAUUAAAAACAGGAAUUUCUUAGGCCCAGCAGAAGCAGUGAGACUUUUCUUAGAUCUGAGUUUCCAGAGAUUGGUGUCAUAGUUCACCCUCAUGGGAAACAGUCAUCUUCCCCAAAGUCUGUUUCUUGGUCACUGGAGACACCUGACAAGUGUCUAGAGGAAAGGUGGCUCAUCUCAUCAGAAUAAGGGAAGACAGCAUACUUAUAAUUCAUGGAAGGAAAGGAGGAAUUUUUUAAGCCACAUGUAUGGCAUCUCAGGCAAUUCUCACAACAGCCUUCAAGAGAAACUGUAUGAUUACACAUGAGGAAAGUGAACCAGGGAUGUGUCAACAUUCAUAAAAAGUGAGUGUUAGUUACUCAGUCGUGUCUGACUCUUUACGACCCCAUGGACAUAGCCUGCCAGGCUCCGCUGUCCCUGGAAUUUUCCAGGCAAGUAAACACUGGAGUGGGUUGCCAUUUCCUUCUCCAGGGAUUUUCCGACCCAGGAUCAAACCUGGGCCUCCUGAAGCUGAGCUGAAAAGAGGAGACAGCAGAGGAGACUGGGAAGAAAUGGACACUGCGUGAGGAGGAAGAUGAAGAAAGAGUGAUGUCAAGAAAGUAGAGGAAGAGAGUGGGUUUCAAGAAAGAGGAAGUGGCUGGUUGCGUUGAAUGCCAUGGAGAGGACAAGAUGAGGGAUUGGGCAACAGGUAGGUCACUGGGGACCUCAUUAAGAGUGCUUGACUGGGGACUUUCCUGACUGUCCAGUGGUUAAGAACCUGUGUGCCAAUGCAGGGGACACAGGUUCGAUCCUAAUCCAGGAAGAUUCCACAUGCAAAGGAGCAACUAAGUCUGGCACCACAACUCCUGAAGUCUGUGUGUCCUGGAGCCGGGCUCCACAGCAAGAGAUGUCAGUGUGAUGAGAAGCCCAAGAACCGCAGCUGGAGAGUAGCCCUGCUCACUACAACUAGAGAAAGUCACGCACAGCAACAAAGACCCAACACAGCCAAAAUGAAAUAAACAACUAAAUUUAAAACAAAAUUUUUUUUAAAGAGUGUCGGCUUGAGACUUCCUAGUAGUCCAGUGAUUGAGACUCUGAGCUUCCACUCAGAGGCCCGGAUUCAAUCUCUGUUAGGGGAACUAGGAUCCUAUAAGCCAUAUUGUGCAGCAAAAAAAAAAAAAAGAAAGAAAGAAAGAAGAAGCAGAGGAGAUAAUAUGAGAAAUAUGGGCAUGAAUGGAGACAAAGAUUUCAAUAAUUUUUGCCAUGGAGGAGAGUAGAAAUACAGUACUGGGGGCGGGGCGGGCAUGCUGUCCAGUGGUUAAGACCCUGCACUUCCACUGCAGGAGACACAAGUUCUAUCUGUGAUCAGGGAACUAAGAUCCUGCAUGCCACAGGGCUCAGUAAAAAAAAAAAAAAAGGCGUUUUAAGAUGAGAGACCCUAGAGCAUGCUUAUGACUUAAUGAAAUAGGAAGGAGAUAUUGAUGAUUCAGGAGAGAAAGGGAGAAUUAUAGGAAUGAAGAACUUGAAAGGAGAGGGUGGUAGUUCUCUACUGCUGUGUGGAACACUGCCACAAAAUGAAUGGUUAGGGCUGCAGUCUCAUUGAAGGCUGGACUGAGGAAGGAUCUGCUUCCAAGCUCAUGUUGAUCCUGGGUAGCUUGGCCUGCAGUGGUUUGAAGUAAGGGUUCAGUUCCUGGCCAGAGACUGAGGUUGGGUAGGGGUGAUGAGAGCACCAAAUCCGCUACCAGAUCAGCGGUCAGUGACAAGGCCCUGGCCCUUUGGCUUUGCAGAAAAGAAUUCCCAUAAAGACAGCAAGUAGAGUGCGGGGUCCAGCCCGGCUGAUCAAGGUAUUCAAGGGAGACGGCUUGGUGAUUAAUUUAAAUAUU